CCUACGGGUGGCAGCAGUGAGGAAUAUUGGUCAAUGGACGAGAGUCUGAACCAGCCAAGUAGCGUGAAGGAUGACUGCCCUAUGGGUUGUAAACUUCUUUUAUAUGGGAAUAAAAUGUUCCACGUGUGGGAUUUUGUAUGUACCAUAUGAAUAAGGAUCGGCUAACUCCGUGCCAGCAGCCGCGGUAAUACGGAGGAUCCGAGCGUUAUCCGGAUUUAUUGGGUUUAAAGGGAGCGUAGGUGGAUUGUUAAGUCAGUUGUGAAAGUUUGCGGCUCAACCGUAAAAUUGCAGUUGAAACUGGCAGUCUUGAGUACAGUAGAGGUGGGCGGAAUGCGUGGUGUAGCGGUGAAAUGCUUAGAUAUCACGAAGAACUCCGAUUGCGAAGACAGUUCACUGGACUGCAACUGACACUGAGGCUCGAAAGUGUGGGUAUCAAACAGGAUUAGAUACCCGUGUAGUC
rnacentral:rRNA from 1 species